rnacentral:misc_RNA from 1 species
AACAUUAUUCCUAGAUUUAUCUCUCGAAUAUCAUGCUUAGCAGAUUCUAAUUGUAUUCAAAAAAUAAAUUUUUAACUGUACUUGUAUUCAUUUUUUUUUUAACAUGCAUUCAAAAUUGGUAAUCAAAUGUUGCAGGGGAAAGAAGAUGAAAUUCAGAGAGGGAAAUGAAAAGAAAACAAGGUUCUCUUUGAUUGUUUGUAUGUUUAUUUAGAAGAUUGAUGAAAGUAUAUAAAAAAAAAAAUCAUUGUACUAUGAUAGCCUUGGAACAUUAAUUGCAUUGAUAAGAGGUUAUAUAUGGAAAUUCGAAAAAAAAAAAU